GCUCUGACAAGUCAUAGCAAUGGUGCAGAUAACAACAUUCCAACUCUUAGGGAAGUGGGCAUUUUUUAAAAUAUAUCAACUCCUAAUCCACAGCACUAAAUUACAAAGUUUCAUGGGGAAGAUGGGAAGGGAAGAAAGGAGACAUAAAGAAAACAAAACCUCAUAUUAUCAACGAAAUAAUGAAAAGACGGACAGUUUUCCACUACCCACAAUCUGAUCUGCAUAGAACAACGCCCCAGCAGCCUCAGAUGUGAUUCCACUGGUUUCACUGAGCCAUCGGAACUGGUACAGCUGCGCCCCUUAUUCCAAUCUGCACUGUCUGUGAGGUGACAGAAUUACACCGCACAGGUGGCUACGGUGUCCUGCCCCUACCGGAGCUUUCUUGGGGCAGUCUCCACCAUUUGAGAUCAUCAGAUAGCAUUGACAUGGCUUGGAGGAAGACCUCCCAGUUCAACCAUACCAGGCUGUCGCACUCCAAGAAGCUGAAGGCCCAGGUUAAUGCUUCCUCUGAUAACAGGUUGCUAACCGGACUCACUUUUGUAUGAUCGGUAUUGUAGGACUGACAAUGCACCAUGAACAGGAGGUGGCAUUAGUUUGUAAGACCCCAAAAUCUCUGGCAAUUACCAUUAAACUGUUCCAGCAGAUAUAUUGAUAAAUAGGACUCUGCGAGCCCGUGUCUGGAGUGCGUGUUUUAUUACAUGCUUCUGCAAUAGCUAGUUCUCUGAGGUCAGUUAGAUGACCCAGGCCUGCAGGAAUUGCUUAUCUAUCUGAAGGCAGGCAGCCUAUUUGAGCAUGUGUGGUACUCCCAAAGGGUUAGCCAGAUCAGUUUUGCUGGCACUGGGCCCACGCCUGUGGCCUAAGCGGUCCAUGCAAACUGUCACAACCUGGAUGCGGGCAGUCUCACUUAGUGGUCAGAGUUGGACUUGGGAGUCAGGUCAUUUCAGAUACCAGGAAGUCAGAGUCUGAGAGAGGCCAGAGGGGAAACCAGGAGUGAGGUGUCAGGAGGCAGGCAGGGUCAGGUUACAGGAGACUGGAGAGCAGAGUCCGGCAGUAGGUAGUGCAAGAGAGGCAGGCCUAAGCAGGGGAAACCCCCAGUUUCAUGGACAAGUUCUUGUUCCUAUGCUUGGUUUAAAUACAAGCAGGGAACCAAGCAGGACCCUCAGAGUUCUGCUAAUCCCUGGACUGGAGUGCUCUGACAGAGGUCAAUUUCUAGUUUUGGCGACCAGUGGCAGGUUGGAAUUUAGUGGCUCCUAAGAGCCCUGUGGAUUAGGGAUCAAGACUUGCAGUCCCUGACAUGGUGAGACCUUGGUACAGGACUUCUCUAGAUGCAAGGAAGAUUUAGGGUGGUAAGAGAUCUGGUUUCACAGCUUGGGGGUGACAAAACCCUUUAAUGUCCUAGAUGACCCAAAUGAAUGUGAAACAACUGCUGGGGGAAGUAUGGAUGUUAUGGGGGAGCUGACCCUUAAUCUAUGGGUUUAAGAUAGUCAUUUCAGAUGUAAUUACACCUAUUGGGAGGUUGGAAAGCAAGAUAGUCAACACCCUUUCUGAAAGAGGGGGCACAAGUGAAUCUUACAUCAUGUCCAGUGGCCAAAACUCUAGCAACUUUUGUAGUUUGGUUUCCUUGGUACUGUAGGGUAUUGAAAACUUUGUUAAACUUGUGAUCACUUUAAAUUCUCAGGGGUUUCCUGAUCCUGCUUGCAGGCAGGGGGCUCUGUAGGGAAGCCUGUGAUCAGUAGUCAGUCUGUAGACAGGAAGCCUAGAGUAAGGUGGGUGAGUGGUGCCUCUCUGUUUUAAGGAACUCUCUCUGUUUGGGACUUUUUGUGUAUUAUCAUUUCAAAUUCUAAGAAACAAAGUAUUCUUAUUCCAGCAAGCACAUUUUAUGUUUCUAUCUAAUUUCUCUGUUUAUAUGCUAUGAAAAACAAAACAGACAAGGACAUUCAUAGAGAUAAACAAAAUAGGUCUAGCAUGUUUAAUAUAAAAAACUGUGCUUAGGCAGUUUUGUGAGCAUAAGAAUGCAUGCGUCAGAAAAAAAAUACAUUGAACAGGUACUAUAGAAAUCUUCAAUAUUUAUAUCUACAUGUGUAAGACAGUUCAGAAGGACAUAUUAAAACUGACAUUAUGUUUCAUUUCUAGUAGUCAUAAUUUAUAAGUAACUAUUCAUUGCCCUUUUCUUUAAAAUGUUCCUUUACCUUUAUGGUGAUGACGUUUUA